CCUACGGGAGGCAGCAGUGAGGAAUAUUGGUCAAUGGACGAGAGUCUGAACCAGCCAAGUAGCGUGAAGGAUGACUGCCCUAUGGGUUGUAAACUUCUUUUAUAUGGGAAUAAAAUGUUCCACGUGUGGGAUUUUGUAUGUACCAUAUGAAUAAGGAUCGGCUAACUCCGUGCCAGCAGCCGCGGUAAGACGGAGGAUCCGAGCGUUAUCCGGAUUUAUUGGGUUUAAAGGGAGCGUAGGUGGAUUGUUAAGGCAGUUGUGAAAGUUUGCGGCUCAACCGUAAAAUUGCAGUUGAAACUGGCAGUCUUGAGUACAGUAGAGGUGGGCGGAAUUCGUGGUGUAGCGGUGAAAUGCUUAGAUAUCACGAAGAACUCCGAUUGCGAAGGCAGUUCACUGGACUGCAACUGACACUGAGGCUCGAAAGUGUGGGUAUCAAACAGGAUUAGAUACCCUUGUAGUC
rnacentral:rRNA from 1 species